ensembl:lncRNA
GGACUGUGGGCAGGGAGGUUGGCCGGCCCUCACCUGGAGGUGCUGACCAUGACCCUCGCCCCACAGGGCCUUCGCCAAGCAGCCGCAGCAGCUGACGGCCACGAAGGUCCUGCAGAGGAACUGAGCCGCCUACCUCAAGCUGCACAAGCAGUGGUGGCGACUCUUCACCAAGGAAUGAUGAGAACGGCAGACAACUCAGGGAGGUUUUAAAAGAGGAAAAGAGAUGAUGCCAACAUGGUGAGCCCAGAAAACAGCAUUUCCUGUUGACUGAGCAUCUACUGUUCACCAAGCCCAGUCCCUGCCUUGUCUCACUCAUCCUCUCAGUGACUCUACAGGCUACUCACUCUUUCUAUGAGCAAGGAAACCAAGUCACAGCAAAACCUGGGGUAGCCUAAAAGGGCUGCAUGAUGGCAAAUUCUCUCCCUACUCAUGGAAGAUGCGGAGUCAUGGACGCAGCCGAAUGGGGCCCAGAGGCUCUGUGACGAAAGAGUUCAGGCAGCUUUCCCCCUGAGGUGGGGCUGUUCCAGGAGCGAGUUAACACUUGGAGCCAGUUGCAGUGGGUCCCCAUGGGCCCGGUCGGACCCAUCUCCCAGUGCCCACUAGGGCCUCUGGCAGCUGGGCUCACUUCUUAGGCCAAGUGGUAUUUGACAUUGUGACUCAUCUCAAGCUAUUGUGGAAGAAAAUUACAUUUUUAGACUAUUCAAGGAUUUAAAGAUUUCUCUUCCUCUAAGGAAAUGGCAUAAUUCAGAAAACAAACCAAAACAAGAGGCAGGGAGACCCGCCCAGAUUCCCCACUUGAGGGGCAAGUCUGAACCUUAGUUUUCCCUUGUGACUCAGGGAUAAUAAAUGUUGUCAUCAGAGGGCUGUGGUAGCUUACACAACAAUGUGUGUGAAAGUGCUUUGCAGAUUGUAAAGGGUUCAGGUGCUACUAUGUUUUCCGAUAAAGUUCUCCAGGUAUAUCUGGGCCCAGAGGUCGUGUGUCGUUAUUGCAGAGUCAAAAAGCUGGUAGCUGCUUUGCAUAGCUGAGAACAACUGGAUCUUGUUUACAUUCAGCCAGAGAAGAUUUCUGGGGUCAUUAUGAGAACUAAAAGCGAGUGAAUGCCUACCAAGCACUUGGAAUGGUGCAAAGAGAGAAGUCAUCGACCACGAUAGCUAAUACAUAUUAGAUACUGCAUUUUUCUUUUUCAUGAUUUAAAUUUUUUGUUAUUAUUUAUUUCUUACUGGGAAAAAAUAAUGAUUUCAUUUGUUUGUAUACUUUUUCUUAUACCUUUCCCCACUCUCUCCUAAUAUCAUUUUUUUAUCACUAAGUUUGUACCCUCUUUUAGAAAACUUUGUAAUUGUAAGCCCUUUGUUUACUCCUUUAUUUCUUAAGCUCUCAACUGAAGCCAGGAUUUCUUGACUCUCUGUUUUGUAAAAUGAAAUAUUAAUCCUCAUCCUCCCUUCAGUGCUUCAGCUCCCAACUUAUAGCAGUGUGCCUUAAUUUUUAUAGUGA